rnacentral:rRNA from 1 species
GACGAACGCUGGCGGCGUGCUUAACACAUGCAAGUCGAACGGAAAGGCCCUGCUUUUGUGUGGUUCUCGAGUGGCGAACGGGUGAGUAACACGUGAGUAACCUGCCCUUGACUUUCGGAUAACUUCAGGGAACUGGGGCUAAUACCGGAUAGGAGCUCCUGCUGCAUGUUGGGGGUUGGAAAGUUUCGGCGGUUGGGGAUGGACUCGCGGCUUAUCAGCUUGUUGGUGGGGUAGUGGCUUACCAAGGCUUUGACGGGUAGCCGGCCUGAGAGGGUGACCGGCCACAUUGGGACUGAGAGACGGCCCAGACUCCUACGGGAGGCAGCAGUGGGGAAUAUUGCACAAUGGGCGGAAGCCUGAUGCAGCAACGCCGCGUGCGGGAUGACGGCCUUCGGGUUGUAAACCGCUUUCGCCUGUGACGAAGCGUGAGUGACGGUAAUGGGUAAAGAAGCACCGGCUAACUACGUG